GACGAACCGAGCGAACGUUGUUCGGAAUCACUGGGCUUAAAGGGCGCGUAGGCGGGCUGCCAAGUCCGUGGUGAAAUCCCCCGGCUCAACCGGGGAAGGGCCUCGGAUACUGGCGGCCUCGAGGGGGUAGGGGCGUGCGAAACUGUGGGUGGAGCGGUGAAAUGCGUUGAUAUCCACAGGAACUCCGGUGGCGAAGGCGGCACGCUGGACCCCAUCUGACGCUGAGGCGCGAAAGCCAGGGGAGCGAACGGG
rnacentral:rRNA from 1 species